AUUGCCCCAGUAACGGCGAGUGAAGCGGCAACAGCUCAAAUUUGAAAUCCGGCCCCCCCACCGCGGGGGCCCGAGUUGUAAUUUGCAGAGGAUGCUUUUGGCGAGGCGCCUUCCGAGUUCCCUGGAACGGGACGCCGCAGAGGGUGAGAGCCCCGUCUGGUCGGCCGCCGAGCCUCUGUAAAGCUCCUUCGACGAGUCGAGUAGUUUGGGAAUGCUGCUCUAAACGGGAGGUAUAUGUCUUCUAAAGCUAAAUACCGGCCAGAGACCGAUAGCGCACAAGUAGAGUGAUCGAAAGAUGAAAAGCACUUUGAAAAGAGGGUUAAACAGCACGUGAAAUUGUUGAAAGGGAAGCGCUCGCGGCCAGACUUGGGCCCUGCGGAUCAGCCGGCGUUCCUCGCCGGCGCACUCCGCCGGGCCCAGGCCAGCAUCAGCUCGCGCCGGGGGACAAAGGCGGCGGGAACGUGGCUCCCCCGGGAGUGUUAUAGCCCGCCGCGCAAUGCCCUGGUGCGGGCUGAGGUUCGCGCCCUCGCGGCACGGAUGCUGGCGUAAUGGCCGCCAGCGACCCGUCUUGAAACACGGACCAAGGAGUCGUCCUCGUAUGCGAGUGUUCGGGUGUCAAACCCCUGCGCGGAAUGAAAGUGAACGCCGGUGAGAGCCCCCCGGGGCGCAUCACCGACCGAUCCUGAUGUCCUCGGAUGGAUUUGAGUAGGAGCAUACGGGGCCGGACCCGAAAGAAGGUGAACUAUGCCUGUGUAGGGUGAAGCCAGAGGAAACUCUGGUGGAGGCUCGCAGCGGUUCUGACGUGCAAAUCGAUCGUCAAACAUGGGCAUGGGGGCGAAAGACUAAUCG
rnacentral:rRNA from 1 species